rnacentral:rRNA from 1 species
AGUGAACGCUGGCGGUAGGCCUAACACAUGCAAGUCGAACGGCAGCACAGUAAGAGCUUGCUCUUACGGGUGGCGAGUGGCGGACGGGUGAGGAAUACAUCGGAAUCUACUUUUUCGUGGGGGAUAACGUAGGGAAACUUCCGCUAAUACCGCAUACGACCUACGGGUGAAAGCACGGGAUCUUCGGACCUUGCGCGAUUGAAUGAGCCGAUGUCGGAUUAGCUAGUUGGCGGGGUAAAGGCCCACCAAGGCGACGCUCCGUAGCUGGUCUGAGAGGAUGAUCAGACACACUGGAACUGAGACACAGUCCAGACUCCUACGGGAGGCAGCAGUGGGGAAUAUUAGACAAUGGGCGCGAGCCUGAUCCAGCCAUACCGCGUGGGUGAAGAAGGCCUUCGGGUUGUAAAGCCCUUUUGUUGGGAAAGAAAAGCAGCAGGUUAAUACCCCGCUGUUCUGACGGUACCAAAAGAAUAAGCACCGGCUAACUUCGUG